rnacentral:rRNA from 1 species
UACGUAGGGGGCAAUCGUUGUCCGGAUUUACUGGGCGUAAAGAGCGUGUAGGCGGCCAAACAGGUCCGUUGUGAAAACUGGAGGCUUAACCUCCAGACGUCGACGGAAACCGUAUGGCUAGAGUACGGAAGAGGAGAGUGGAAUUCCUGGUGUAGCGGUGAAAUGCGCAGAUAUCAGGAAGAACACCAAUGGCGAAGGCAGCUCUCUGGGACGGUACUGACGCUGAGACGCGAAAGCGUGGGGAGCGAACAGG